GGGGAAGCCGGGGCGGGGCCCGGGGCCCAUCCCCGCCGCUGUGCCCCGCUGAGGGGGCUGCGCCCAGCGGCGCUUCCAAGCCCCACCCUGCACUUCAGAUAAUUCUGCCCUUUGGGAAAACACUGAUAUCAAGCACACUUCCUUCAGAAAUGAAGUUGGAUCUGUAACCUUUGACACAACCACCAGAGGAAGGUCCUGCAACCACACACAUCCUGGCAAAAGAGCCCCCAUGCUGCUGAGAGAUGAAUAUUUAUGUCAUGGAAAGAUCUCCAGCUUUCCUCAGGCUGAAGUCACACCAUCAGGUAGAGAUGGCAGCUGGCAGUAACCCACAUCAGCAAAAAUCAGAAAAGCUGCAGCAGGAUCACAGAAAAGAGCUUGGACCAGCACAGCACGAGGGCAGAUGGAUAUCAGCUAUCACAGACAAAUCAUAAAAUCGGGCACGUACUUAUGCAGCAGUGCCAACAGCCAGCAUCCAACAUCAGUGAGCAAAGCCAUGGGCUCUCAAGUGCGUGGUCUUGAAGACCAAGUAGGUCUCUGUUCCCUGGAAUGCACUACUGUAUGAUAUCAAUACCUUGCAAGUCACACCUGUCUAACCCUAAAAUGGCUGAGGUUGGAAUGAAUGAAUGGAAACGUCUGCCUACUGCCAACUGUGUACCAUAAACUACACUACAGACUGCUCAACACGCCUGAAAUCGCUGAGGUACAGGGUUUCUGAAAGGCCUCUGAGGUCAGUGGGAGGAUGGAGAACACUCUUGGUUCUGGGCCAAAGAAGAACUUUCAAAGGACAAAGCCUCAAGGAAGUACUAAAUUUCCUUCAGCACUCUGAAGUCAUGAUGACCAUCAGCUAAACAACUGAAAGGACAGAACAGCAGAAUAUGUCCAUUGCAUAAGGGCAACAUAGAGAGAUUUGUAUCCCACUGCUUUAAAAAUGGACUACAAAACAUUCUCCAGUAUCUGAAGGAAGGAGGAGGCUCUGAGAAAAACUGCAGCCUUGUUAAAUAGCUUGAACCUGUAUUUGGUGGCAAGAAUGUGACAAUCAGCAUUCGGUUAGUCUGUUUCCUUGUGUUAUCUACCCAUGGAGCCAAGAGUGUGACAAUCAGCAUUCAGUUAGUCUGUUUCCUUGUGUUAUCUAGCCAUGGAGCAUAUGCAUUCCUAGAAUACAAUCUGGCACAUUCCAGCUUUCCCCAACACAACAAGGAAUGCCAGCUAGUCAUACAGACAUAUUGGUUUUCUAAUUAUAGAGAAAAUUUGUAUUUUGAUCAAUUUUCUUGAUUGACACACAGCCAGAAACCUCCAGAUUGCCUUGUGGGAUUCAAAACAUCCCUGGCAGGAAGUGAGGUUCAGGAAGCACUACUGUGGGAUGUGGAACAGGCUGUGACAUCAUCCUAUCUCUUAAUUGGGGGAAGAAGCAGAGACCACCAUCCACUUCCAUAAGCACUCUGGAAAGGACCACUGGUUAUCAGGGUUUUCUGACCAUACCCUGCCAUUAGCAUAAGUGUUUGCCUAUUACAUUUUAACAGCUGGGUUCAUAGACUUCAGCACCUGAAGCCAACCCAGACUGACCUACUGGGGGUAUGCUAACCACAUGAGCAAUCCUGGGAACCAAAGACAAUGCUCAUGCACCAGCCACAAGACAAAGAUAGUUACAUGCAACUUACUCAUGUGAGCUUUGUCUUCUAACAGUGAGGAGUCUGAGCAAAAAUGUUCCCACAUGCAGAAGUAGAAAUGACUGAGGCAGAAGAGUGCAGGUUUAUUCUGCCAGCAGCUGUUGCCAGCUGGACAAUGACAAAAUAAACAAAGGCUACCCAGUCAAAUAUAGCAAUCCAAGCAAAUCCCCAUGAGCAACUGGCAACAGAAGGAAUGGUAAACUGAGCAGUGUCAGUUACCAGUUAUUCUGGUGUUUACCCAGCUCACAAAGGUCUAUGACACUUAGACCUAAUAGUUCAGAUUUGGUACUUUUCCAAAAGUCAGUGGGAACCUUUCAAACAUCUGGUAAGCUUGUGCAAUAAUACCACAGAUCUGAGUAGUUUUGACUGUGGUAGUAAUGAGAAGGUAGCCUAGAAGAGUGUGCACCACAAAUCUUUUUCACAAGCCUCAAGUGCAUUGUUAUCUUGGGAAAGCUGAAUGCUUGGAUGUGGCUGAGCCAUUUAUCUGCUGAGUAUGAACUCCUGAGCUGGACAUGGCCUUUAAAGCUCACUCAGCCAGCUAGACCUGGAAAUCAAGCUCCUACUGGCAGUUCACCUACUGCUUGAAUGAAUCAGAACAAUUUCUGGGUGGGUGUAGCUCAUCAAUGCAGCAGAGACGUGCCAAAUGCAGGCUGGAUAGCACAAUUCAUCCACUGCAUGUAAUGUAAGAAUGAAAAGAAGCCUUAUGCAAUGUCAGCAAAAGAGGAAAAAGUGAGAAAAAACUUAGAGGUCUAGAGAAGAGCAGUAACAUUAGCACAGCUGAUAUCAACAUUGUGGCUGACAUGGUAACGUGCAGGCACAUAUGCUGAAUGCCAAGCAGGGUGUGGGCACUGCAAAAUCUUUCAAGUCUCAAGUGAAGUCAGUAGACCAAAAGUUCGAACACACACACAAUCUCACUCAAGGAUUAAAAAAAAUGAGUAGUUCAAAUUAAUAACGCAAGACAGUUCUUCCAGUGUGAAAUGCAAUUUUGAUUCCAGAAAUCAGUAUCAACUGAUUGAAUGCCUUCUUGAAGCUGGCACUUGAGCAAUGGGGAAUAUUGCUGAAAAAAAUCACUUUGCUUUUCAACUGCAAACUCAUAGCAAAUAUUUGACUCCAGGCCUUUAGACUUAAAAGUCCUUUGGUUCAAGGGCCAGGGCUAUUGCAAAGGUGGAUAAGAGCCCUUGGCUGGAUCAUAGGGACAAGAAGGCAAACAAAUAUGGUAGAAUCUCUUUAAUACUUGUUGAUACUACCCAGGGAGCAGCUUAAGCUGGAAGAAUCAGCAUUGGCAAACAGUGUGAAACGGGAGCACCUGGGAGGUGGAAAAAUAGCAAGAUGGUAAAUGGGGUUGAUGAAAACAACCACCUCUCUGUGUGGUCCACUGCUGUGCCGCGCUAUCUCCAACUGGAGAACAAGAAUGACACAAGAUGGGACAGAGGAAAAGCAUGAUAGCUUCCUCUUGUCUGUGCAGUUUGCUGGCUCCCUGUCUAAACCUUCCCCUGUCUUGCACACGCUCACCUAGCCAAUGUUGGAGGAAAGAAGCCAUGGGAGGAGGCACAUGUUGCAGCAGGCAACUGAGAACUAUGAAUACAAAACAGAAACACUUCCAGGAAAGGUAGGAGUUUCCUGAAUCUUCCUUCCACCACUUAGUCACAGCUAUGGCAGGGUGAAAGAAGAAGAAUGAGUUACAAAAAGUUCUAGGGGGCAGUACAUGCAAGAUUAUAGAGAUGAAAAGGGGAAUACUCUAUCUUCCUUGAAAGUCCCAAACUUCUCUCAGCACUUCUGACUUCUACAGUCUAGUUACAAGAACGUGUAGACAAUGGCAUUGAUUCAAGCUCUUCAACUGCCCAUAUGUAUCUAGGACACACAAGGCUCCAAUAAUGGAAUAAGCAGCUGCUUAUGCAGUUUCGGUGAGACUUCAGGCAGUUUCCAAAACGGCUAAUGAACUGUCCCACAAGAAUUUGUUCUAGUAACCACACUUAAAGUUUGCAGCUCCUUACCUGAGAACUUGCACUGGUGUGGUGCAAACAUGGUUACUGCUGCAAUGCCUCUAGUUGCAUCACCAAGAUGAACACAGUAUUGAUGAAGGAAAAGGAACUCAGGACAGAUAUUUAGCUUAGAAACAUGCAUUAAGUGCUUCACUGCCCUGAGAGAAACCACAAGUGAAGUUCACAAGGAGGAUAAUGACUGUAGCAGUAGGAAAAGAGAAGUGAAAACACAACAGUAUAAAAUGUAGUAUAUUCAUGCAUUAUAGUUUGUAAGCACUUUAAAGUAUCAGCUUCUCAUAUGCUGUCUCAAGAAAGGCAACAGGCAUGAGAGCUGAAGGACAAGCAAGCAAACUCGGUAAACCGGCCUAGCAAGCACUGAGACACUUGUGACAUGGAAUGAGAGUCAGGAGCAAGUGUCACUGGCAUGGACAGGGAACAUGCCAAAGAGAGGGUGCUCCACCAUACUUGAUGACUUUCAACCUGAUGAGCAGCGUAUUAAGAUACUGUAAUGACUCAAAGAGAGGAGGCAGGAUGGUCAAGCCACUGAUGCAAUAGCAUCAACAAUUUGAAAAGACUGGGGUGGGGUUGACUUUAGCACAUAAAAUCUAAGAAGAGCCUGUAGUGAAAGAUGGAUAAUAACAGAAAAAAAGGCCUGUUUUAACAGAAAAAAGGGAACAUCGUGAAGGAAUCUGACAUGGUUAUAUUAUGUUCAGAGAAACAAAAGUUCCAAACUUUUUUAAUGAUAGAGGGAUUGCAUUUCUAGACAUUACACCUCCAAGGGCAACUUUUUAAAUGUAAUCCUAUCUUCAUCAAGGGUGUGUCUGAACACAGGUGCAUGCUCUGAGCUAGGGUGUGAAUUCACAGGACGUUUUGUACACUACAUUAAUUGCCAUAUGAGUUCACUUAUGGCUCUAAUCACACAAAUACUUGGAACUACACUGAAAAACUGGUAGCACCAAAAAAGGUUUUAUUCUUGUUGUGCCAGUGUUACCAUCUCAACAGCAAUACACAAGUAUUUCUGCAUGCCUGUUACAGGGCUUGCAAGGGUCUUUCAGGGUGAAGAGAGAGGCGAGAAUCUUGACCUCAUGUUCAGAAGGCUUGAUUUAUUAUUUUAUGGUAUAUAUACAUCAUUACUAUACUAAAAGAAAUAGAAGGAAAGAUCUCAGAAUGCUAGCAAGCUAAGAAUAGAAAAAGAAUGAAUAAACAAAGGAGCUCUCUCUGAUUCUGUCCCAGAGAGAGCGUGGCCUUUGAUUGGCCCUUAAUUGUACACAUCCAACAUGGGCCAAUCACAGGUGCACCUGUUGCAUUCCACAGCAGCAGAUAACCAGUGUUUACAUUCUUUUUCUGGGGCCUCAGCUUCCCAGAAGGAAAAAUCCUAAAGAAAGGAUUUUUCACAAAAGAUGUCCGUGACACAGGCCUGCUGGAUCAAGGAAUAAAACUGAGUCAUUAUGAACUGCUUAUUUUCUUAGAUCAGUUUCAAACUUGGGAUGAAUUCCUCAGUCUGAACCACUUGGUGAUCAUUUCACACUCUCAUUAAUGCAUCAAGACACUUUCUUUGGGAACCAUCUAUAAGGACUUGAGGAAUAAAGCUCCAAGAAUUCCUGUGCAAAGUCAUGUGUUCCUUUCAGAAAGCAGAGGGAACUACUUUACACCUAUGAGCCCAUAGAAGGAAACUGGUGCACAGCAGCCAGUAUUCUGAAAAAUUCACACCUUGACUUACUGCAUAUAAACUCUUUCAUACAAAAAAGCCCUGCAGCUCCACAAAGGCAAACAGCAGUUCUAGAAGGGCUAUAAACUGCUUUUUUCAGCCUAUUGGGAAGGGAACUGAAUGCAUGUAAACACAUAUGAAAUAUAUGGUGGGUUUAUGAACAUUAAAAGGGUUUGUAUGAUUAUACACCACUGUGAUACUCCA